AGAGUUCGAUCCUGGCUCAGGAUGAACGCUGGCGGCGUGCUUAACACAUGCAAGUCGAACGGAGUUUACUUAACAGAUUCCUUCGGGAUGACGUUUUUUAAACUUAGUGGCGGACGGGUGAGUAACGCGUGGGUAACCUGCCUUACACAGGGGGAUAGCAGUUGGAAACGACUGGUAAUACCGCAUACCUUACAUUAUUCGCAUGUUUGAUGUAAGAAAGAUUUAUCGGUGUAAGAUGGACCCGCGUCUGAUUAGCUAGUUGGUGUGGUAACGGCAUACCAAGGCGACGAUCAGUAGCCGGCCUGAGAGGGUGAACGGCCACAUUGGGACUGAGAUACGGCCCAGACUCCUACGGGAGGCAGCAGUGGGGAAUAUUGCACAAUGGAGGCAACUCUGAUGCAGCGACGCCGCGUGAGUGAAGAAGUAUUUCGGUAUGUAAAGCUCUAUCAGUAGGGAAGAUAAUGACGGUACCUACAGAAGAAGCCCCGGCUAAAUACGUGCCAGCAGCCGCGGUAAUACGUAUGGGGCAAGCGUUAUCCGGAUUUACUGGGUGUAAAGGGAGUGUAGGCGGCAGUACAAGUCAGGAGUGAAAACUUGGGGCUCAACCCCAAGACUGCUUUUGAAACUGUACAGCUAGAGUGUAGGAAGGGCAAGCGGAAUUCCUGGUGUAGCGGUGAAAUGCGUAGAUAUCAGGAAGAACACCGGUGGCGAAGGCGGCUUGCUGGACUAUAACUGACGCUGAGACUCGAAAGCGUGGGGAGCGAACAGGAUUAGAUACCCUGGUAGUCCACGCUGUAAACGAUGAAUACUAGGUGUUGGGUCUCGAUAGAGAUUCGGUGCCGAAGCAAACGCAUUAAGUAUUCCACCUGGGGAGUACGUUCGCAAGAAUGAAACUCAAAGGAAUUGACGGGGACCCGCACAAGCGGUGGAGCAUGU
rnacentral:rRNA from 1 species